UACGAACUGUGCGAACGUUAUUCGGAAUCACUGGGCUUAAAGGGUGCGUAGGCGGUUUUCUAAGUCAGGUGUGAAAUCUUCCGGCUCAACCGGAAAACUGCGCCUGAGACUGGAUAACUUGAGUGAGGUAGGGGUGUGUGGAACUUCCGGUGGAGCGGUGAAAUGUGUAGAGAUCGGAAGGAACGCCAGCAGCGAAAGCGGCACACUGGGCCUUUUCUGACGCUGAGGCACGAAAGCUAGGGGAGUGAACGGGAUUAGAUACCCCGGUAAUCCUAGCCGUAAACACUGAACACUGGAGGACGGGGGCUUCGGCCUUCGUUCUCGUAGCGAAAGCGUUAAGUGUUCCGCCUGGGGAGUAUGGUCGCAAGGCUGAA
rnacentral:rRNA from 1 species